UACGUAGGGAGCAAGCGUUGUCCGGAAUCAUUGGGCGUAAAGGGCUCGUAGGCGGCCAACUAAGUCCGACGUGAAAUCCCCAGGCUUAACCUGGGAACUGCGUCGGAUACUGGAUGGCUUGAAUCCGGGAGAGGGAUGCGGAAUUCCAGGUGUAGCGGUGAAAUGCGUAGAUAUCUGGAGGAACACCGGUGGCGAAGGCGGGUCUCUGGGCCGUAACUGACGCUGAGGAGCGAAAGCAUGGGGAGCGAACAGG
rnacentral:rRNA from 1 species